UUUUGUUGAGCACCUACUAUGAGCACUAUUUAAGUCCUGGGUAGAAUAGGACCAUGGUUCUUAAAUUUUAUAUGCCCAGAGAGCCUGUUAGGAUGCAGAAUCCCUGCAGUGGGAAUUAAUAGGUCUGGGAAUGUGAAACUCUGCAAAGUCAUAUGUGAUUCUGAUGAAGGUGGUCAAUGACUGCAUUUUAAGAAACAUUGAUAUAAGGAGUUCAAAAAUAAAUGAUAGCUGAUUCUUGCUUUUGAGAUGAUAGCAUAGGAGGGGUAACAAAUAAUUAUGAGGUAGAAUGACGUGCAAUAAUAGAAUUACAGACAGCAGUUUUGGAAACUCAGUGGAAAACUAAAAAGUAAGGAAGGUUUUCCAGAGGAAGUGACACAUGAGGGAUGAGUAGGAUUUUAGUAUGAGGAACAAAGGAAGAAGAGUAUUUCAGCCCUACAAACAGCAUGAUCAAAGUCUGCAGUACCACAGCCUGUAUUCCUGACCUACAUGACCACCCAUUUUUUUCAAAGAAGAUACCAGGUGAGAGAAUAUGGCUAAAUUAACUAAAAUCUGUCCACAUUUCUGGGGAACAAAAUGACUCAAAAUGCAUACCAUAGUUGGUGGGUCAGUAGCUACAUUUUCAUGCAAAAAGGGCGUUAAAUGAUUUUAGUUCCAAUUUGUGGUUUUUCUCACACAGCACAAAGACUAAAAUAUAUAUAUAAUAGCUGCCAUUCUUUACUUAGUGCCAGUGAUGUGUUGCCAAGCAGUGAGCUGAGUCUGUACAUCUGUCGGUUCUAAUUCUCAUGACAAAUUUACAGGGUUUAGGAUUAUCUCCAUUUUAUAGCUGUGAAAAUUGAGGCUCACAAAGGUCAAGAAGGAGCAAAGCCUGUGCGAUUUCCCCACAUUAUAUUGCAAAGAACACAAACCAUUGCAUAGGGCUGGUCCACACACAAGGAUUUUUAUCAAGAACACUCUGAAUGGAGAACUAUCAACUUAAAAAAUCUUACUUAACAUUGCAUUUGUAUUCUUUUUAAAAAGUGUGUAUCUCUCAGAGCAGGGGUUUUUAAAUGUUUGUUCUUAUAUCUGCCAAAAGAAUGUUGAAAAACUAAGUACUCCUUUUCACAUUUUUAACUGGCAUCUAGA
rnacentral:lncRNA from 1 species